AACGCACAUUGCGCCCAUUAGUAUUCUAGUGGGCAUGCCUGUUCGAGCGUCAUUUCAACCCUUAAGCCUAGCUUAGUGUUGGGAAUCUACUUCUCUUAGGAGUUGUAGUUCCUGAAAUACAACGGCGGAUUUGUAGUAUUCUCUGAGCGUAGUAAUUUUUUUCUCGCUUUUGUUAGGUGCUAUAACUCCCAGCCGCUAAACCCCCAAUUUUUUGUGGUUGACCUCGGAUCAGGUAGGAAUACCCGCUGAACUUAA
rnacentral:misc_RNA from 1 species